rnacentral:rRNA from 1 species
GAUUGGAUUGCACGUCUAAGCAGUAAGGCUGAGUAUUAGGCAAAUCCGGUACUCGUUAAGGCUGAGCUGUGAUGGGGAGAAGACAUUGUGUCUUCGAGUCGUUGAUUUCACACUGCCGAGAAAAGCCUCUAGAUAGAAAAUAGGUGCCCGUACCGCAAACCGACACAGGUAGUCAAGAUGAGAAUUCUAAGGUGAGCGAGCGAACUCUCGUUAAGGAACUCGGCAAAAUGACCCCGUAACUUCGGGAGAAGGGGUGCUCUUUAGGGUUAACGCCCAGAAGAGCCGCAGUGAAUAGGCCCAAGCGACUGUUUAUCAAAAACACAGGUCUCUGCUAAACCGUAAGGUGAUGUAUAGGGGCUGACGCCUGCCCGGUGCUGGAAGGUUAAGAGGAGUGGUUAGCUUCUGCGAAGCUACGAAUCGAAGCCCCAGUAAACGGCGGCCGUAACUAUAACGGUCCUAAGGUAGCGAAAUUCCUUGUCGGGUAAGUUCCGACCCGCACGAAAGGCGUAACGAUUUGGGCACUGUCUCAACGAGAGACUCGGUGAAAUCAUAGUACCUGUGAAGAUGCAGGUUACCCGCGACAGGACGGAAAGACCCCGUGGAGCUUUACUGUAGCCUGAUAUUGAAAUUCGGCACAGCUUGUACAGGAUAGGUA